rnacentral:rRNA from 1 species
AGAGCGAACGCUGGCGGCGUGCUUAACACAUGCAAGUCGAGUGCGCGCCUGUAGCAAUACAGGUGGCGCACGGCGCACGGGUGCGUAACACGUGGGUAAUCUGCCCUUCGAUGGGGAAUAACCUCGCGAAAGCGAGGCUAAUUCCGCAUAACAUUCCGAUGGUUCCGAUCAAUGGACUCAAAGCCGUAAGGCGUCGGAGGAGGAGCCCCGCGCACGAUUAGCUAGUUGGUGAGGUAACGGCUCACCAAGGCUUUGAUCGUUAGC